UGAUCAUAUUCAUCAUUCAUCAUUCACCUCCCCCACCACCACCGCACCUCCACUACACCACAACCGCACCUCCACCGCCCCCACUACAACAACACCUCACCAUCAUCAAACGAGUCAACGAUGAACGGAAGAUUCACCAGAUGAACAAAACCGUAACAAUCCAAAAUCAAGAACAAACAACGAGUUCUGUUAGACCAGGCUAAAGAGAUGUGUAUCGUGAUAAUGUUUACCAGCCAGUUUCAGGUCUAUUUGAGGAAACCUGGUGGGUCUGUUGGAAAAACCGUAUUAUGGGCGGUACAUCCGGCGUGUUGUUGGUAAAAUUCACAAAAUGAUGCUUUAUAGUGGCGUAUAUGGAAACCCAAAUAAUGUAAAGGCGAAAAACAAGAAUUUGGGGCUAUUGUACAAUUGUGCACCGAUGAGUUGUUUGGUAGAACUAGCUCGAGAGAAACCUACAGAUGGUGUUCAAAGGAUUCUUGAUAUUGAACCAAAACAGGUGCAUUUAUUCUUAAGUUUAAGAUGAAUUUUGACUUUAUUUUGGUCAACCAAAGUAUACUCUUAUCUUGAAAAUGUGUAAUGUGUAUCAAUAUUUUGUUAAUCAAGAAAAUUUGUUACUUAAUCAUGAAGUUUGUUGAACA